rnacentral:misc_RNA from 1 species
ACACAAACACACACACAGACACACUAACACAGGCAUACAGAGAGACAGAGACAGAGACAUGCAGUAGAGAACUUGGAGCAAGCUAAGCUGUAUAACAGAGCCAGCAGAUCACACAACAGCAGCAGUGACUAUUAAGUGUUCUCAACAGUAAGAUGCACGUCUCGGCUAACUGACAACAGAAAACAAUAACAACAAAAACAGUGUCAUCACCGCCACCACCACCACCAACAACAACAACACACUAAACAACAAAUACAAUUACAACAGCAAUAUCACCAACAUCAACAACAACAACAGCAUUAUCAAAACCAACUGCAUUGGUAUUAGCAACAACUACCACAUCAACAAAAACAACUACAACAACUCUUACAGUUGUUUCAUCACUAACAUUAACAAGAAUAGGAACAACAUUAAUAACACAAACACAUAAGCAACAAUAAUAACAAAAGCAAAAUUACAACUAUGGGAUUUUAACUACAAAGACGACGACAACAAGAAGAAAACAGACAGAUCAGGCAUCCAUGCGAAAUCUAAAACAGUCGUGUUGGAAUUUAUGUCAAUGUUUUUGUGACAUUACUUCCGGAUAAGAAGAUGCUGAUAAAAAUCUAUGCAUUUCUCCUUUUGCUACAGGCAUCUUUAUGCAUAGAUUUGACAUAUUAUGUAGAAGAAGGUCAGAACCCCGGGAGCUAUAUUGGUGAUAUUGCAGCCGACACACAUUUAGUGAAUGGUGUUCCUUUGAAGGAUCACAGUUUGUUUUGGUUUCAACAGCUCCAGAAAGGAAAUGAGAGCAGCUCAAAAUUAUUUAAUAUUUCCAAAAGUGGGAAACUUUAUACCGCUCAGGUAUUAGAUGCUGAGUCCCUUUGUAAAUACAACACCGAAUGUUUCAGGAUGGUCGAAGUGGCUGUGAGAAAUAGGGAAUCGUUUGUGAAGAUUUUAGAAAUUAAAAUUAUUAUAAAAGAUGUUAACGAUAACAGACCAGACUUUCAGAGUAAAGAAUUUCAUUUGGAAUUUUCAGAAAGUGAUAUGAAGGGAACGACGAAAUUUAUUCCAAAUGCCAUUGACAGAGAUGUUGGUAUCCUGAAUUCUCAGUUGAAAUAUCGGCUGAGAAAGGAAAUGUCGGAGCCAUUUACAUUGUCUGUUUCUAGGAAACACGAUGGUUCUACUGAACUCGGAAUCGUUUUGGAAGAGAAACUAGAUAGAGAGCUUAAAGAUUCUUAUCAUGUACAAGUGGUAGCCAAUGAUGGUGGGCUGCCCUGCGUAUUAGAUGUUUCUAUAUCAGUCGCCGAUAUCAACGAUAACAGACCAGUUUUUAGCCAGAAUAUCUAUAACAUUACAGUAAACAACGGCCACUUGAUAUAUAUACCUGUAGUUAUACUGUCGGCAAAAGACUUGGAUUCCGGGAAAAAUGGACGAAUAUCGUAUUAUUUCAGCACCAAGUCAUCAGCUCUGGACAUAUCUUAUUUUGAGCUGAAUAAAACAUCAGGAGAACUUUUUUUACAUCAAAAGUUCUUCACAGAACCUAAGAAAAGUUACAAGCUGUUGAUUGAGGCCCGCGACGAGGGUAUACCGCCACUCAGUUCAACAGCUAUAGUACUUGUGAAUGUCAUCAACCAACAAAACAAUGCUCCUGAUAUAGAUAUCAACUUCAUUUCUCUUACUACCAAUGAUGUAGCCUCCAUUUUUGAAGGGGUCAAAGUUAACAGCUUUAUUGCUUAUGUCAAGGUUACAGACAAUGAUAUUGGUCAGAAUGGAGAAGUGAGUUGUGAACUCGAGCACGAUAAACUCCAACUUCAAAGUCUAGGAAAGAUGAAAUAUAAAAUUGUCAUAAAAAGCCACAUUGAUCGAGAAAUUGAUAAUUUUCUACAUUUUACGAUUACAUGCCAAGACAACGGGACUCCUCCUUUGCGAACAACUAAGAAUUUUUCCAUCCAAGUAAUGGAUGUCAACGACGUACAUCCACAGUUUACCAAGGAUACAUUUAAAUUUUUAAUUUUCGAAAAUGAAGAACCUAAUUUUCCCAUUGGUUUUAUAAAUGCCACAGAUCCAGACCUUGAUUCUGGCAGUGAACUGACAUAUUCUUUGUUGAACAACCAAGGCUAUCUUCUUCCGUUUGAAAUAUCUAAUUUUGGUUUCAUCUCCACCACUCAGUCACUGGACAGGGAGCAACAAGACGUUUAUAAAUUUAAAGUUUUAGUCAAAGACAACGGAACUCCUUCGUUGAACAACACAGCAAAUGUUGUGGUUGAAGUCAUUGAUAAAAACGACAACGCACCCUAUUUUACAUUCCCCAGCGUGGAUCCUUUCAAUCUAGAUGUCCAUUAUCAUCCACAGGGUAAGAAUGACAUUACGGCGCUAAGAGCCUCUGAUAGAGACAGUCAUGUCAAUGCUUUCCUCCAAUAUGAAAUACUUGGAGGAAAUGACAAACAAUUAUUUACUGUGAACCUUUACACAGGAGUUUUGUCUUUCUCCCGUCCAGUCUAUCAAAACGAUGCAGGAUCGUAUAACCUCCAGUUUGUAGUCAAAGACAGCGGUGCGCCGGUUUUAUCAGCAACCAGCACCCUUUCUUUAACCCUUACAGUAAGCAACAAAACAUCAAAGAUGUUUACUGCAGUUCACAAACAGUCUGAUGAUAAAAUUCACAUCAAUUUACUGAUUAUUAUGUUAGUAGCAACAGUAAUAGUAGCUUUGGUAGUAGUUAUAUCAAUAACUGUGUGUAUUGUUCGAAGAAACAAUCUCAGAAAUAACCAGUAUACUAGCGGAGUUGAUGGUUCUAAACUAUUUAGUCAAAAUAAUCUGUCAGAAUAUAUUUGCGGGCAAGUGGUGCCACAAUAUGAUGUGCCAGUGACUGUUGUAUCGGAACAGGAGCACAACAGAAGUUCACAAAGUACAUUGCUGCGACAAGAUCCACAGUUAGUAAAAAAAUCUGGACAAAGCUGGAAAAUACCUCCUCCAGGAACACAAUUACCAAAUACCAUGCAGGUGGCAGCACAGGGCAUAAGUCUUCCCAGUUACAUACACUCAGCCGAGGUAAACAUACCAAUCCGACCACAAAGGGUUCAAACGAAGGUAAUAUCUGCCCGAACCCAACAUCCAAUGACGUCAUUGACUUGAAGUCAAUCCGGGUGACCAGUGCCAGUCCCAACAUCCCUUCACAGCACUGGAAUUUACCAAUGAGGAAUAGUUUUACAUCUUAUGCAAAGCCUUUACCUGCAGUACCCAAGGACACCAAAACAGAGUUAAUGUAAUUGCAACCAGUUCUGAAGAUCACUACUACCAUAGCCCAUCAACAAGAAGACGACCAAUGAAACAGUGAUUUGUUAUCGAUCCGUUUGGCGCCUCAACCGGAAGUGACAACCUCCCCUCCACUACUUCGUGAGAUGUGGAAGGUGACACAAAGCACAUGAAGUGUCGACCACUAUAUUAGUAAGAGAACAAUACAAAAUAAAGCAACGAUGAAAAGCCAUUUUGAAACUCAUUAUAAAUACAUUCAUUCCUUCAUAUAUAGAUAUAUAUAUAUAUAUAU